CAGAGGGGGAUAACGUUUGGAAACGAACGCUAAUACCGCAUGAUAUUAUUGAGCUGCAUGGCUUGAUAAUCAAAGGAGCAAUCCGCUGAAAGAUGGGCUCGCGUCCGAUUAGGUAGUUGGCGGGGCAACGGCCCACCAAGCCGACGAUCGGUAGCCGGACUGAGAGGUUGAACGGCCACAUUGGGACUGAGACACGGCCCAGACUCCUACGGGAGGCAGCAGUGAGGGAUAUUGGUCAAUGGGGGAAACCCUGAACCAGCAACGCCGCGUGAGGGAAGACGGUUUUCGGAUUGUAGACCUCUGUCCUCUGUGAAGAUGAUGACGGUAGCAGAGGAGGAAGCUCCGGCUAACUACGUGCCAGCAGCCGCGGUAAUACGUAGGGAGCAAGCGUUGUCCGGAUUUACUGGGUGUAAAGGGUGCGUAGGCGGCUUUGCAAGUCAGAAGUGAAAUCCAUGGGCUUAACCCAUGAACUGCUUUUGAAACUGCAGAGCUUGAGUGGAGUAGAGGUAGGCGGAAUUCCCGGUGUAGCGGUGAAAUGCGUAGAGAUCGGGAGGAACACCAGUGGCGAAGGCGGCCUGCUGGGCUCUAACUGACGCUGAGGCACGAAAGCGUGGGUAGCAAACAGGAUUAGAUACCCUGGUAGUCCACGCUGUAAACGAUGAAUACUAGGUGUGGGUGGACUGACCCCAUCCGUGCCGGAGU
rnacentral:rRNA from 1 species